rnacentral:rRNA from 1 species
CCUACGGGUGGCUGCAGUGGGGAAUAUUGGACAAUGGGGGGAACCCUGAUCCAGCCAUGCCGCGUGUGUGAAGAAGGCCCUCGGGUUGUAAAGCACUUUCAGUGAGGAAGAACGCCUGGUGGUUAAUACCCAUCAGGAAAGACAUCACUCACAGAAGAAGCACCGGCUAACUCCGUGCCAGCAGCCGCGGUAAUACGGAGGGUGCGAGCGUUAAUCGGAAUUACUGGGCGUAAAGCGCGCGUAGGUGGCUUGAUAAGCCGGUUGUGAAAGCCCCGGGCUCAACCUGGGAACGGCAUCCGGAACUGUCAAGCUAGAGUGCAGGAGAGGAAGGUAGAAUUCCCGGUGUAGCGGUGAAAUGCGUAGAGAUCGGGAGGAAUACCAGUGGCGAAGGCGGCCUUCUGGACAGACACUGACACUGAGGUGCGAAAGCGUGGGUAGCAAACAGGAUUAGAUACCCGAGUAGUC